rnacentral:ncRNA from 7 species
GGUUGGGCAAGUUGCUUUCAAGGUUUUGAGUUUCUCAUAGGGCGAGAGGAA